GCCAGCGGUUGGGCUAGGUACGUGUAUGUUGCAAAAUUCUGUUGGGACUCUUCGCUCCGGCCGUUUAAAGCAAGGGGUCUCCUCGUAGCAAGAGUAAGUAAGACACGGAUACACGGAAAGGGAUUUUGUGACCUUGUGACAGUCUUCUUCAAUGUCAAAUGUGAUUGAACGAAGUAUCCCGAGAUGGCUCUGAGGUGAUAUUCGGCUGUAGCACGUGACCUGAAGCACGGUAACAAACUCAUCAGCAAAUGGCGAAACAUAAGGGAUAAUUUCACAAGAAGUCUGAGGAAGAAAACGAAGUCUGGGCAAGGAGCUGAUUCUGGAAGACAGUAUGUGUACGCUCGUCAGCUCAGCUUUUUACUUGCUACUAGUGCACCGGCGGCCACUCAGUCGAGUAUCGAAGAGGAAGGGCUAUCGCAGGUCAUUGAUGAAACUCCAGAAACAGAAAUUGUCCCAAAGAAGAGGAGAAAAACAACAAGAGUCUCCGGUCGACAAAGGUUGGAGGAGAGUCUGAUACAGUUUAUGAAUACGCCUGUUCCAGUUGAGCCAGAGAAGACUUCGAAUCCCAAUUUGGCAUUUUUUGAGUCAUUGCUUCCAGCGUUAGGAAGUUUCACAAUUGAUGAACAAUUGGAAUUCCAAACUGAAGUCUUGAAUGUUGUUAAAAGGAUUAGGGGUAGAUCAACUGGCUUUCUGCAUCCUUCCCCUCACUACCAUUGCCAAUCUCCCUCCGAUGCUCGCUACCCAAAUGUCCCCAGUUCUUUUCCACAAAUGCAGCAGUACUCAUGUUUCCCGAACUAUCCAACCAGUACAUUUCCGCAGCGUACACAUCCACAACCCUCAGCGUCUUCUGUAACCUCCCAAAACAUACAGUCAUCUCCAGCUCCAGAAUCCCUUACUGAAACUCAGGCCGGGCUAUCCGACUCUCUUACUUCCACAAAUUCAUGCAUUAGUGAAGAAUCAUUUGAGAUGUUUCCUAACAGUUAAUGUGUAAUUUUUUGUAAAAAAGAAAAGACGAUAAUUCAAUAAACUAUUAAGCUUCUUCAAAACAACUGAACCUGUUGUAAGUUUUGAGGUUUUCACGGCGAUGACUAUGAAGAAGACGACUUUCUUCAACUGAACCUGUUGUUCAAAAUAAUAAUCCUUUUGCCACAUUGUUUCCUUCUUUUAGAUAACCGAAAUAAAUCUGUACGUACCUCAGUGUUACAGCUAACAUUUCAAGCGGGCCAAUAGCGAGUCUCAUAUUGGUGUCCUGGGAACGUAUACUGUCUGCAGUUCUUCCAGCUAGCUCCUCAAAAGAUCUUUUGCUCAUCCGAAAGUAAUUAAAAAAUUUUGUUUCAUCAUUACUAAGAUCUACGUAGAGCGAUGAAAAUGCUCCUUUUAGCAGUCGGGAGCUCAGCAGUGGGUGCACCCAGAACCUUCGGUCUG